rnacentral:lncRNA from 1 species
AUGCAAAAAGUUCUAAAAAUUAUCAAAAUGCUCUUUAUUGAAGUUUUUUCUUUUUCCACUGACCCAUGGGAUGUAUUAAAAGUGGACAAAUGGGCCUAUUUCCUGAUAGGAAGAGUAACCAAGAAGACCAUCUGCAAGAACAAGGGUGUGAGGUCAAAUUCCAAUAAAAUAAUGCAAAGAGAGAAACCCUCACCUAAAUCUCUGUCUAAAUCAUGUAUCAUCAAUCAUCAAUCGACACUGCGCUGGGUACUAGCUUGUGUGCUGCGCCUUUUGAGGAUUCAGAGAGUAUGGGAUAUAAAGGAAUGUCAAGGGAUUUGGAGGACCAUGUCUCACAUCCAGCUCACUAAGGACCCUAUCAUGAACUACGUGUCUGUACAACUGUUGAAAAUAACCGAAUGAUUAGAAAAGAGCAGAAGAAUGGCAUCUAAUAGCAACCCCCUGGAUAGGCUGACCGAUUCAACAUCCUGUGAUUAACAAAGUACCCUGCAGAUUGUGUGUGAAAACUAGCUAUUUAAUCAUAGCCAUGCUGCAGCACACAAGUGAUGGGCUAUCUACACAAGAAGAGUUUUGAACUAUGGACUAAUUUUCGUCUUUUGGUUUUGAUGGGAAUACCAC